CGGGUUCUUGAUUGUACUGAAGAUAGUUUGUUUGGGGUUGGACCCUUAACACUGGUAUUGUGUUCUUGCGGAGUCUAUGCUCUGUUUUAGCUCCAAGAUUUUAGCCUCCCACCCAGAAGAGGGCUCUGGUGCACCUUUGUUUGUGGUUCACAUGAUGAUGCCAAGAGCUAAGGGGUUCACAAGACCAAGCUAAGAGCCACCCAUGUCGCAAAUAUGUCCUUUAUAUGUUAGACGCAUGGGUUCGAACCCCACCUUGCGCCAACUCGUCAGUUUCUUGGCACGGUUGUGUUAACUGUCUGGGCAUUCAACACCACCGUGUGAGCUAUCGACAAAGGCGCCUACCUUGUUCAAGAAUGGGGGACAGAACACAAUGCUGGAUGGGUUGAGGGCCUGACCCCUUACCAGAUUUACAUAUUUAUUUUUGAAAGGUGACAUCUAACAAAAUCAAUGUUUGAAUUUCAUCACUUGGAUCUUCUUCAAUGCUUAUAACCUUUGAAUUUUUACAUCUAUUAAUGUCCUUAGCUACGUUAAUAUUUUGAAGGUAAUCAUGAAAGGUUAACAAGAUUUUGCGUUUGUUACUUAUAUGGAAAAUGCCCCGAGAAUAUAUCUCCAUGGUUGACGCUAGUGCUUCAAUUUCUUGUG
rnacentral:lncRNA from 1 species